CAUAUAAGCGCGAAACCCACCACAAGAUGAGAUUUCUUUUAAGGGUCGUAGGAGAUGACUACGUUGAUAGGCUAUAGAUGUAAAGGCAGUAAUGUCAUAGUCGAGUAGUACUAAUAACCCGUAAGCUUAUGUAC
rnacentral:rRNA from 1 species